rnacentral:lncRNA from 1 species
ACUAACCUGGAAACUAGUGCUAGUCACGGGCCUGUUGGUUAACUCCAGUUCAUUCUUGGCUCGGGUUCUCAAAGAUGGAGUCUGUGAACCUCUGGUCCCUCAGAGGCCACAACUGGAAAUGAACCAUGGGCGGUGGCGCAUUAAGGCAGGGAGCUCAGUGCAACAUAGAUGAAAAUACAGAAGUGGGGCACUGGGGCAGAUCGUGGAUGGGAACAAAACAGAAGAGAAGGUUGAAAACAAUGGAUAAAAAGAAUCCAUAGGGAACCACCAUCUUACAACCCAGAAAUGAAAAAUGAAAGUGAGCAAGGGGAUAAAGGAGAGAAGAAGGAAAGAUGUGGGUUACUUAAAACUAAGAUAUAUGAGAAAGCCAUAUGGAAAUCACAAUUUUGAAGGAAAGAUAAAUUUAAAACACAGCUUAGAAUGAAAAAUAAUUUUAAACAGUAGUACCCUUCAUGGGUAGAAUGCUGUUUUCAGAAGACGUGUUUUGUUGGACAUGUAAUAUUAUUUUGAGUGACUGGAUUUAGUGGUGUGUGUCUGAUUUAAUCUGUAAUUUUAGCACUUUAUGCAGAAGAACGAGUAGCUCAGGCAGUCCACAGGUAUAUCACAAGUUUAAUUCUCACCUGAACUCCAUGAGACUCUAUCUCAAUGACAGUACCUGCUAUCAUUUUUAUCUUUAUUAACUUUCUAUUUUCCCAUACAGACAAAAGCUUUAAUGCAGACAUUUCCCCCAAGCCCACCAUUUUUCUUCCUUCUUCUGCUGAAACAAAUCUCCACAAGACUGGGACAUACCUUUGCCUCCUUGAAAAGUUCUUCCCCGAUGUCAUAAGGGUGUAUUGGAAAGAAAAGGACAGCAAUACGAUCCUGGACUCCCAGGAAGGGGAGACGCUGAAGACUAAUGAUACAUACAUGAAGUUUAGCUGGCUUACUGUGCCUGAAGGGUCAAUGGGUAAAGAGCACAGAUGUAUUGUCAAACACGAGAACAACAAAGGAGGAGCAGACCAAGAGAUUUUCUUUCCUUCAAUAAAGAAAGGUAUGUGCAUAUAUACUCUGAAAUAUAGUUUUCUAGAAAAUGUGUUUGAAAAUACCCAAUCCUUUUCUAUAAUGUAGCAAUAAAAUUAAUGUGACAUUUAAUGGGGUCAUUGCAUUUAUUUUACUGUGAUACUAAGCUGGCAGAGUGUUUGGGAGAAAAGUUAAGAUUUUUUGCUAAAACUUUCUAGGCUGUAGUGUCAUUAUCCAAAAUAUCCACAUCUAAUGAUACACACCCCCAUCUCUCUCUCUCUCUGGAAUUGUUAAUUGAAUUAAAAAUAAAUGAUGCAUUAAAACAACACGCAACUGAGUGCAUGAUAAAUGCGAACCUUGA